UUAAUUGAAGCCAAAUAUUGAGGUAACUUAUUGUUAAUAAGUAAAUUGAAUAAUAUUCCAAUUAAA
rnacentral:tRNA from 1 species